UAGCUCAGUGGGUAGAGUACUUGCCUAGUAUGCACAAAGCCCUGGGUUCAAGUCCCAG
rnacentral:tRNA from 1 species